UAACGCGUGGGUAACCUGCCUUGUACUGGGGGACAACAGUUGGAAACGACUGCUAAUACCGCAUAAGCGCACAGCUUCGCAUGAAGCAGUGUGAAAAACUCCGGUGGUACAAGAUGGACCCGCGUCUGAUUAGCUGGUUGGUGAGGUAACGGCCCACCAAGGCGACGAUCAGUAGCCGGCCUGAGAGGGUGAACGGCCACAUUGGGACUGAGACACGGCCCAAACUCCUACGGGAGGCAGCAGUGGGGAAUAUUGCACAAUGGGGGAAACCCUGAUGCAGCAACGCCGCGUGAGUGAAGAAGUAUUUCGGUAUGUAAAGCUCUAUCAGCAGGAAAGAAAAUGACGGUACCUGACUAAGAAGCCCCGGCUAACUACGUGCCAGCAGCCGCGGUAAUACGUAGGGGGCAAGCGUUAUCCGGAUUUACUGGGUGUAAAGGGAGCGUAGACGGUUUUGCAAGUCUGAAGUGAAAGCCCGGGGCUUAACCCCGGGACUGCUUUGGAAACUGUAGGACUAGAGUGCAGGAGAGGUAAGUGGAAUUCCUAGUGUAGCGGUGAAAUGCGUAGAUAUUAGGAGGAACACCAGUGGCGAAGGCGGCUUACUGGACUGUAACUGACGUUGAGGCUCGAAAGCGUGGGGAGCAAACAGGAUUAGAUACCCUGGUAGUCUACGCCGUAAACGAUGAUUACUAGGUGU
rnacentral:rRNA from 1 species